UCUCUUGAGUUCUGUUGUGUGAUAACUGAUUAAUUUUUUGCCCUUAUUAACUAUUAUGUGACAGAAUUCUUGAGCUCAUAAUCCUAUUCCUGAAUUAAAUAGGGUGAUAAAUAUAUGCUAGGAAUUCAGUUAUUUCCUUGUCCCAUAGCAAAGUACAAUUUUGUGCUAAUCUCUUCCAUGUUUUUGUCAUCAGAAGCCUUAAAAAGUUACUUUCAAUCAAUGUUUGAAACAGACCAGAAAAAAACUACUGGAAAAUAUGAAGUGCAUUUAAACAAGCUUCCAGGUUGCAGGAGGCACAACCAAAAGAAAGAGAGUUCCACCAGACUCCCAAAUAAUAUUGCAUUGCAUAGUCCCAUUCAUGCAUUGAGAUAUGCAACCUGGACCACUGAAGUGAGUAAUAUAAACUUGAAAAAAUCCAAGCUCCAAUAAUUAUGACAAAGACAAAGGACACCAGACCAAGUGCAAGGGAGUUGUGCAGGCCUGUCAACCCAAUUUACACA